rnacentral:rRNA from 1 species
GACGAACGCUGGCGGCAGGCCUAACACAUGCAAGUCGAACGCCCGUAGCAAUACGGGAGUGGCAGACGGGUGAGUAACGCGUGGGAACGUGCCCUUCGGUUCGGAAUAACUCAGGGAAACUUGAGCUAAUACCGGAUACGUCCGUAAGGAGAAAGAUUUAUCGCCGAAGGAUCGGCCCGCGUCGGAUUAGCUAGUUGGUGAGGUAAUGGCUCACC